CCGAGGACAAGGUGAAACGGCGAUGGCUCGUUUCUAACGAAGCUUCGUCGAUAAAUAAGGCUGGAAUCCUGCGGGAAUCAAGAAGGAUCAGAAUGCAGAAGAGAGAGAGAGAGAGAGAGACAGAGAGAGAGAGAGAGAGAGAGAGAGAGAAGAGGGAAUAUGUGUAUGCAUAUGUGUACACGCAUAAACGUAUAGGCGUACGUGUGUUCAUACGACGGAAAGAGAGAAACAUAGCGAAAAGGAGAGAGAGAGAAAUAGUGAGGGUACGGGGCGCGAGGUAAAGAGGGAGCCAGAGGGAAAGAGAGAGUAAGCCGAAGGAGGAAAGAGGACAGGGUUUGUCUCUCGGCCGAUACGCGACCGGCCAUCUUGAAUCCUGGGUAUCGUUGAAAAAUAGCAAUUCUUUUCGGCGGUUGACAGAACGCCACGAGGGCUGAAAGGAACGAUCGGACGUAAACGAGUCCGCGAUGCUCGGAGACCGUGCGCGAAGUAACGGAUCAGGUCAACCGCGACCCGGAGGUCGUUGCGUUUGCUCAUGGAAAAGAGACGGUCCUGGUAACCGGAGGCGCAGCACACGGUGCUACAGGCACGGAAAGAUGUCGACGGUCGCGCACAUUUGCAACACGUUAUUAGAAAAUCGUAACCGAUACGGAACAUGUUAAACACUCGUGCACUCAGGAUCGUACGAUCCUUCUUCACCCUUACUUUGCGGUUGAUCGUCCAGACUUUCCCGGUCAGACAUUGCUCUUUAACGCGGUCUCUCUCUCUUCGGUUCCACGCGUCGUCCCUCGACGUCUCGGCAACAGGCC